rnacentral:sRNA from 1 species
AAAAAAGCCCGCUUAACGCGGGCUA